UUAGAGUUUGAUCCUGGCUCAGAACGAACGCUGGCGGCGUGGAUAAGACAUGCAAGUCGAACGAGAGAAUUGCUAGCUUGCUAAUAAUUCUCUAGUGGCGCACGGGUGAGUAACACGUGAGUAACCUGCCCCCGAGAGCGGGAUAGCCCUGGGAAACUGGGAUUAAUACCGCAUAGUAUCGAAAGAUUAAAGCAGCAAUGCGCUUGGGGAUGGGCUCGCGGCCUAUUAGUUAGUUGGUGAGGUAACGGCUCACCAAGGCGAUGACGGGUAGCCGGUCUGAGAGGAUGUCCGGCCACACUGGAACUGAGACACGGUCCAGACACCUACGGGUGGCAGCAGUCGAGAAUCAUUCACAAUGGGGGAAACCCUGAUGGUGUGACGCCGCGUGGGGGAAUGAAGGUCUUCGGAUUGUAAACCCCUGUCAUGUGGGAGCAAAUUAAAAAGAUAGUACCACAAGAGGAAGAGACGGCUAACUCUGUGCCAGCAGCCGCGGUAAUACAGAGGUCUCAAGCGUUGUUCGGAAUCACUGGGCGUAAAGCGUGCGUAGGCUGUUUCGUAAGUCGUGUGUGAAAGGCGCGGGCUCAACCCGCGGACGGCACAUGAUACUGCGAGACUAGAGUAAUGGAGGGGGAACCGGAAUUCUCGGUGUAGCAGUGAAAUGCGUAGAUAUCGAGAGGAACACUCGUGGCGAAGGCGGGUUCCUGGACAUUAACUGACGCUGAGGCACGAAGGCCAGGGGAGCGAAAGGGAUUAGAUACCCCUGUAGUCCUGGCAGUAAACGGUGCACGCUUGGUGUGCGGGGAAUCGACCCCCUGCGUGCCGGAGCUAACGCGUUAAGCGUGCCGCCUGGGGAGUACGGUCGCAAGAUUAAAACUCAAAGAAAUUGACGGGGACCCGCACAAGCGGUGGAGUAUGUGGCUUAAUUCGAUGCAACGCGAAGAACCUUACCUGGGCUUGACAUGUAAUGAACAACAUGUGAAAGCAUGCGACUCUUCGGAGGCGUUACACAGGUGCUGCAUGGCCGUCGUCAGCUCGUGUCGUGAGAUGUUUGGUUAAGUCCAGCAACGAGCGCAACCCCUGUUGCCAGUUACCAGCACGUGAAGGUGGGGACUCUGGCGAGACUGCCCAGAUCAACUGGGAGGAAGGUGGGGACGACGUCAGGUCAGUAUGGCCCUUAUGCCCAGGGCUGCACACGUACUACAAUGCCCAGUACAGAGGGGGCCGAAGCCGCGAGGCGGAGGAAAUCCUGAAAACUGGGCCCAGUUCGGACUGUAGGCUGCAACCCGCCUACACGAAGCCGGAAUCGCUAGUAAUGGCGCAUCAGCUACGGCGCCGUGAAUACGUUCCCGGGUCUUGUACACACCGCCCGUCA
rnacentral:rRNA from 1 species